rnacentral:lncRNA from 1 species
AAAAAGAAGUAGUCAGUAGAAAGGACACUCAUUUUUCAAAAAUGAAUUACCCUUGAGAUAUUACACUGACAUUUUCUCCAGAUUUGUUCAGAAAUGGUAGGCAUGCUAUUUCCACCUGGAUGAUGAAACAAGUCUAUAUAAGAUGGGUUUUCAUGGUCUUGGAUCCACUGCUUGUCUUCAGUGGUGCCCUAGCACAGCAAUUAAUCUGCCAGCUCAGAUCUCUUCUGCUGCCUCCUGAACACAACACAUCUACAGAUUUGCUUGAAAGUAUAUUAGCCACUUUUCCAAACAAAAGUCUGCUUUCACCAAAAAUAUGUCGUGUGUUGAGUAUCUUUGAAAAGCUUUAAUUAUCCAUUCCUAAUGGUACAAACAGAAAUAGAUGCAAGACUGAUGUGAGCCACAGGUUUCCAGAGGCUGCUCCAUCAGGGUAAAAAUACCAGGUGAGGCCAAAAGGAAAACACAAACAUUGUGAGGUAUUUUUCCCACUCAAUAUAUUUUUCGUUCUGGUCAAGAAAAGAAAUCCCUUUUCAAAGGGGUUUGUUCCAAGUCAGUGAGAUAUUAGUACCAAAUACAGUUUCUUGAAGAAGUCUGCAAAGGUGGUGACACAGAAGCCAUUGUGUGCCACCCAAAGGCAAAAUCCAGAAGAAAAAAUCCUCUUUACAGGAAAAUAUAACUAGGACAGUCAGGACUUGCUGGGACAACAUGUCUCAGGACAACUGCCAAAGGGCCCAUGUGAAGAACGCAACAUAAAUACAAACAAAGGUUGCAGCCAUUUUCCUGAUAUUCUGUCCAACACACUAAACUCGUAAAUCACAGAGUCCCAAAGGGAAAUUAAAGGUCAUCUUGUCACCUUUUCCUUCUAUCAUGCCGCUCCCCCAUGCCAGCCUUUACUAAGGUUCAGUUCAGUUCAGUAGCUCAGUCAGGUCCAGCUCUUUGCAACUUCACUGACUGCAGCAUGCCAGGCCUCCCUGUCCAUUACCAACUCCCAGAGUUGACCCAAACUCAUGUACAUUGAGUUGGUGAUGCCAUCCAACCAUCUCAUCC